UAUCUGAACUUUAGACAUGAUUGUUAGAAGCAUUGUUAUAUAAAAGGUCUGAUUUGUUUAGUAGCACUUUUGAAGAAAUGUGUUCUUAUGUUACUGUUAUUUUUGUGGAUUGUUAUAUAAAAGGUCUGAUUUGUCAAGUUUUUCAUUGUACCUUUAAUGUGAUAUUUAUAUAGCCAGAAAAGUGAAACUUAAUUGAUGCCUUACUGUGCAAGUUCCUCGUCGUCAACGUCCUAAUGUACCAAGACCUGCGAGUAGAGGACGCCAAGCAGGUAACAGACGGGGUCGAGGUCCCGUGGAUCACCAGUUGGUUGAUGAGGAUGAGGUUCGUUUUGAUCAAGAUAUGCCCAGUUCAUCGAUGCCUGCAGCUGAUGAUGCAUAUUACCCAAUAAUAGAUUUUGGUAUGCCCAGCUCAUCGACGUCUGCUCCCAAGGUCCAAUCAUCUGCCGUAAUCACACGUGAGGGGCCUUUUCAGGCAUUCGCAUCGUCUGAGCCUAUUAGCCUCGCAGUUAUGGCCCAACGCUAUGGUGUUUAGACAGGCACCUCUUAUGGGAUGACAAAUGAUUUUCCUGCAUUCACUGGACAUAACUCUUCAAUUGGGAGGAGACUGAGUUUUACCGACUCUCCCAUGGCAUUUGAUGUUGGAUCCUCACACAUUCCUGUGCCGGAUGUACAGACCUUAGAGCCACAGGACGAGGGUGUGAUACAAGAGGAGGUUCACCAACGUAGAUCAAAACAAGAGCGUCGGCAAACUACGUGUAGCACGGGGGGGGGGGGACAAUGUAAAAACUGAAUUUUUAUUAAUUAUUGAAUUUAUCUCAAAUCUCAAUUGUUAUGUAAUCUUUCAAGAAUACAUAGUAUGUUUUGUGCUUUUUCUAGUUAAUUAUUAUAUGACUUGUGUAAAAACUACAUUAUAAGAUGCCUCAACUUGAAAAUAAAGGUCACAUUUGACUGCAUGCUUGAUUUGACGACUGCAUAGCAGAUUUAACGAA